UACCCAAUAGGCUCCAAAGUAGUUCCUUUUUGUGGUUCAUAUUGAGGAUCCUAAAGUAAUCCCAAAAAGGAACUACUUUGGAGCCUAUGGGU
rnacentral:pre_miRNA from 1 species